GCGCGGUUAGCUCAGCUGGAUAGAGCGUUGGCCUCCGGAGCCAAAGGUCGAAGGUUCGAAUCCUUCAUCGCGCGCCA
rnacentral:tRNA from 1 species